GUAGAACUCACAGCACUCCCAGGUCGCAGCUCCCCUCUGAAUCAGCAGCAGUGUCUCAAAGCCAGAUUGGAUCACCACCAAGAAAGAAAAAGUGUUACUAACGACUAAAUGUCCUGGUUAUCAGGACAGGUUUUUACACUCCUCUCAUGCCUGGUUUCCCUUCCACAAGGAGCCGAGUUUCCACGGAGUGUGCUCCAAGAGUGAUAAUUUGGACAAAUGCAAAUAAGCUACAAUGCAGCAGAAGAAUGUUUCACCUUCCUGGAGUCCUCUCCCUUUUCUUACUGUUUCCUUAGUAGAUUUUUGGCUUGCCAGGCCAGAGACCGCUUUUAUCUUACGACCGAUGCAAAGCUUCACCAUUGUUUCUGGAUAAUACAGAUGGUAGUAGAAGACUAUGUGCAGCACUGGUGCCAGAUGAGUCACCCAGAGAGCAUCUGUGGAGGAGUGACUCGUCUGGUGGAUGAGGGAAAGGCUGUUGAUGUAGUCUACCUAGACUUCAGCAAAGACUUCGACACUGUCUCCCACAGUAUUCUCCUGCAGAAGCUGGCAGUACGUGGCUUGGACAGAUACACUCUUGGCUGGUUCGCAUUGCACAUGAUCCAAAAGCAUCUACUACAAUGCUUCAGUAUCUAAGGGAUAAAACUGUUUCAAUAAACAAAAUCCAAGUAAGCAAGACCAUCGAAGGAAAACUUCCCUAGGGGAAGAAAUUUAUCUCAU
ensembl:lncRNA